rnacentral:rRNA from 1 species
GAGGAUAAGAAGACGGUGAGGGCCAGAGGGGUGGUGUUUGCGUGUACUUUGCCUACCCCCUACACUCGUUAGUAGGUGGGGAGGCAAAAUGUUAGAGGGGCAGGGAGGUUAUGGAAGCGUGAUAUGUAUCAUGUAGCGUGGUUCCGUGAAGGAGGGCGUGGCGUGGUUCCGGGAAGGACUAACAUUCGUGCAAGCUCGAGAAUCGAUACCGCGAGCGCAACCUAAGGGUAGUUGGAAAAAGGGCACCUUCCUCACUAGCUACGGCGUUAGGGCCACGUCGGUUUAGUCAGACACGCGCGCGGCAACAAGACGAGGCCCGGGAGGAAGGCGGCCGCCGGAGCCUGCUCGACGAGACAAGGCCAGGAAGGAGCGGUCUACCGCAGGAGUCUACGUGGUCUGCGCCGGUAGCGGCAGCGCCGGGGCUAAGGUCAGCCUGCGAGACGAGGCCCGGAGAGUGCGGCCUGCGAGGCCUGCGCGGACUACGCCGGUAGGGCGCGUUGACUCCUUCGGACACGCGUCCGCAACGGGACCAUGCCGGGGAGGAGCGUGUCUGUCGGUGCUUGGUAGACCCCGUUUUCUUCGGCCGUCGCCGCCGUUCGUUAGGGUAGUCCGGCGCCAUGUGUUCAAAUUAAGUAGGUAGCAGAGGGUACGAUAAAAGAUCUGCUUAGACCAUCUAAAAGAAGAGGGAGGGCUAGAAGAGAUAAACGUAGUCAUGAUAGUUAUCGACCCACAGGUUUGAGGAUAGGUCUAAACAAUUACAAACGAGACCCUUCAGUUUGGCUCAACUUCGGAGGAAGCAGCUACGAGUAGAGGCAGGUCACAGAUCUACCCUUUUUAACCUCUGGACCGACGGUGGUGGCGUGGAUGUCCUGCGGACGAACCCUUAGACUUUUUGAGAUACCAUGCAGAAGGACUUGCACUCAAGUUCGGAGAUGGUACCGAGUAGGGGAAGAGGAAGUCCGUGGUUCACACAACCCGCCUGUUUUGACCUCGGGAGCGGCGGCGGUGCCACGGUGGUGCGUCGGUGGACUAGCCGUUUAGGCUUAGUGAGAUGUACAUGUGGAAGUAGAAAUAAUCCACAAGUUGGUAGAACGUAUUAAACCCUAAGAAUAACUGAGAACGAAGGAUGGGCAAGUUAAACAACUACAUGGUCUAAGUACCACAAACUAAAUUAACCUUCUUCACCAUUCACAGAAAGUUAGACGUUAGUUAACCUAUGUUGUUACUUCUUGUGAACUAAUAAAAAAAACGUUGUCUAAUAUCCGACGGCGUGCGUAUACAAAUAGAUUGAGUUUGAUCUGCUACUUACUAUGGACUCGGUCAGUACAGCGAGUAGAACUAGACGGUAGAGGUAAAAGAGUCAGUCCAACCUACAUCUAGAUGUAUUGAUCUAAAAGCACUUUAAAAUGAGAAGCAGUACACGGUAAACGUCCUUCCGGUAACGACGUCUACCUAGGUUUAUUUAAAGGACUGUACAAGAGGUGUAAAAGCUGACUACGAAAGUACAGUAUACCGCGACCUCGUAUAGUUACUAAAGGAAAACAAGCCAGUAUACUUAAGAAUACUACUCUAACCUAAGAAAUAUCUGUCCUUAGUGGUUGUGUGUAUCAACUUACUUUCAUAGUGCAUACACGAUGAUGUAAAAAAUUAUCUAAUACAGGCUACCCCGAUCGCGUUUGACUAAGAAUAAUACAUCUUAGUUAUAUAACGAUAUAGUACUAACCAGAAAUACGGGUCGCUUAUAACUUAGGCGGAUUUAACUAGAAUCCUACAUCAUAUACCAAGUGCUAGGUUCAUCUCUAAUGUGUUCUUCAGUUCUUGACCAUAAAAAGUCAGAUUGAAAAAAGGAGUCAAACACUUCUAGACGUUGUAAAUUGUACACAAAAAGAAUCAAUACCACGAAGCUUGGUCAAGUUAUAAAUCAUCAGGGAUAACCUACAUGAUAAUACAUAAGAGGACUUUUCUUGGUAACAUAAACAGUCUAUUCUUACCUGCUCCAAUCAACUACGCUGUGUAAAAGUCAAGACACUUUACAUGCAGAAGUCUUAAAGUGAGUCAGUGGAAUCUAUUGGGAAAACAAGAGGUAUAUUCCGAUAGAGAAAGUCGCACAAGUUCAUUUUUAUCGAUUAAGUGGAAAAAUUAGAAGUAUUAUCCAGACAGACAAGGUCGUAUAAGUUGAUUCUUAACAGUAUACGUAGUAGUAAGUAACCAAGUUAGAAGCAACUAUUAGACUGUUUUUCAAGUGAUGAAACCAUGAUACUUUUGUAAAACUUUGGCUGUUCGAUUGGAAGAAAUAGUUAAUUUUUAAACUUCGGAGAGUAUUGAGAAACUUCCUAAAAAAAAGUGCCAAAUGUUAAAUGAGUGAAUGAUUUAGGAAGAGGAUAUGCUACGAUGUUUAAGGGCGUCGUUACGCGCCCCAUAGUAGAUCAUUAGAGGUUUAAAAAUCCGUUAGUGUAACAGUUGUGAUAACUCUACAAAUUCAAAAAAAAAAGAUCGAUUUCGCAGAGCGCUAAAAUUUUCGACCCAUAUUUGUAUGAGACGUCGAGCUCAGUUUAACCUGAGGGAGCAAAAUAUGUUGUUCGAGCCGGUUUGAGUUGACCAAACGUGGGGAUCUUUUUGUGCGUCGAUAUAAAGCAGAUUAGUUUUUACAAGAGGGUUUUACAUACGUCAGUUUGAAGUGUUAGAGAAGUGAGUAUUUUAAAUAUUUUCUUUAUAAUACUAGUCUUUCAACUUCUAUUAUAAAUUAUGUAGACAUACCUUAAUAAACAUUGUAAUAUUAAAUAGAAUAGACUCUGGUUUUGACUUGGUAGUGAAGAAUUCGUCUGUUAAACUGGUGAACACACGUGCUAGGACUAAAUAAAUAGAGUCAACGUCCUACUAGUAUCAAGUCUCGUUUUGAACCAUAGUGUCACUAGGACUAAGUCCCGAUUACCCGGAGGGUUCAAACAAAGUCGAAGUCCCGUUUUUCUUUUUCAAACAAGUUCAUGUACUGUGUUUGAGUGUUCAACGAUAGUACUUCUGACGCGUAAGUUUAUGUGUAGGGUAUAUUCUAGUAGGUGUUCUGAAAACUACACAUGUGUUAGUACCAUUAUUUCUAUUGUGUCAUCGUCUAACGAUACCAUUUUCAGUACUCUUCGUGGGUCCGACCCACCCUACUGUCCCGAAGUCGUCUUGUUCCCUCCGUAUAUACACGACUCUUAGAGGUUUUGUUGUCUUGUUUUGGACUACCUAACUAGUGUGUCGAACUCCUCCCUUCUUGGUACACCCGGCGGUGACAGGUUGUGCGACGUCGCCACGACGACGACGGAGACUGUAGUUACCGCACUAACACGGUAGGGAGUACGACAUGUGUGGUCUCAGCGUUUCUCCUAAGCGUCUUCUCCAGCCGGUCUGUAUCAGUGUGUACUUCAUCUACGUUAGGAGUACCAUAGGUGACGUAAGGUGUCGUCCGUCCGUGAACCUCGGUACAACCGGUUCUUUCUCGCGUACCGGUGGGUUGAGUCACCGGAAAGAGGUAGCUGGCCCCGACCACACGUCCAGACGGAGUUUCUGGACUUUGUGCCGUCAUGCGAACAAGUUUCUGUAGCAUCGAACAGCUUGCACCGCACGUCGCUUUGGUAGAACGGUGGUCGUUGUCAAAUGGGGGUGUAAGUUACUCUAUGCCAAAAUGGUACAUGAGGAGACGAUACCUGUUUAGAACUCCACAAGGUGGAUACAGUGGGUUUCUCAGUUAAUACGUCGACUACCUACUUUACCAUGCCAGUAAUAGGUUUAGUUGCUACUUAUCGACCGGCUUCGCUGGGGUACGCAUGUUGAAGGGCAACUUCUUAUGUUGUAGUGACUCCUUGUCAGCACCUAGGAAUAAUAGAGACUCGCUCCGUCACCGCUAGCCACCGACCGAUUAUGUCUCACAUACCUUUGUUGGUAGCAGGUACUAAUCACGUUGCUGUCCCCUUACUCCACUACUCAGGUCCCCUCUCCCGUGGUGGUUGAAUAUCUUUUAACCAAAUGCCAGUCUCACCAUUGCAUAGAGUGCGAGGGUUUGUCGGUGAUCUAAUCCUUCGAGAUUACGUCAGAACCUCUUUCCUAAGUAGUUACUCGUGUGUAAUGGUAACAGUUACUCCUUAUCGGUCAACAGUUACCUCGGAACCGUUGUUCGUGGAAGACCAUGUCCAUACGCCACUUAAAGUGACGGACCUUACGACUCCUUUCAUGGCAGACCCUCCCACUCGGUGCCCUUACCGUCUCCUUCCCCGACGUUGUAUGAUAAUCUCGCGGUCCACGCUGUCUGACGAGAAUCUGCUUGUGCCAGUCUGUCCCUCCCGUCCACGAACUCUUGUUCCGGGUCCUCAAGGCCGACUUCUAGACUGGUUACCGCUAUGUAACGUCGGAGGUAGUAUGUUCAGAUGUUCGCUUCUGUAAGUAUCAAUUUGUCUCAUUUUAAAGGCAGAGGUUCGUGCCUAGAUGACCUCCUCUGUUGCAACCCGUCCAUGUAGCAGCUAGGCGGGUUGGUUGAUUUAAUUGGGGACUCGGGACUGAUCUUUACCAUCUCCUCGAUCCCGAAUGUCGAAUGAGGUCUCCAGGAGGAUCACCGGAGCGGACGCUCCCUUAGCUAAGCCGCCGUCCUUCGCGGGCGCCGAACCCUUAGAGGCCGCACCGAGUGUAGCCGCCACUCCAUCCCUAACCCUAGCCGCCACUCUCAAACCCCAUAAAAUCCCCGCGGGGAUACAGAGCGAAAUUCGCUCGUGUCCCCGUUUCGGAGCACGACACCCCUCGGGUCUACCCGGCCGGGUCGGCGCGUCCUCCGGCGUCGGAAAAAGAAAGGAAAAAAGACAAGAACAAAAAAAGGAAAUAAAAACAUGGAAAGAAAUAUGAAAUUUUUCAAGAUGUAUAUAUACGUUUUUUGUGAGAAGUUUUUG